rnacentral:rRNA from 1 species
UGAACGCUGGCGGCGUGCUUAACACAUGCAAGUCGAACGAACCUUCGGGUUAGUGGCGGACGGGUGAGUAACGCGUGAGAAUCUGCCCUCAGGAGGGGGACAACAGCUGGAAACGGCUGCUAAUACCCCAUAUGCCGCGAGGUGAAAUGAAUUUCGCCUGAGGAUGAGCUCGCGUCUGAUUAGCUAGUUGGUGUAGGUAAUGGCUCACCAAGGCAUCGAUCAGUAGCUGGUCUGAGAGGAUGAUCAGCCACACUGGGACUGAGACACGGCCCAGACUCCUACGGGAGGCAGCAGUGGGGAAUUUUCCGCAAUGGGCGAAAGCCUGACGGAGCAACGCCGCGUGAGGGAUGAAGGCCUCUGGGCUGUAAACCUCUUUUAUCAAGGAAGAAGAUCUGACGGUACUUGAUGAAUAAGCCACGGCUAAUUCCG